rnacentral:rRNA from 1 species
AGAGUUUGAUCAUGGCUCAGAUUGAACGCUGGCGGCAGGCCUAACACAUGCAAGUCGAGCGGAUGAAGGGAGCUUGCUCCUGGAUUUAGCGGCGGACGGGUGAGUAAUGCCUAGGAAUCUGCCUGGUAGUGGGGGAUAACGUUCCGAAAGGAACGCUAAUACCGCGUACGUCCUACGGGAGAAAGCAGGGGACCUUCGGGCCUUGCGCUAUCAGAUGAGCCUAGGUCGGAUUAGCUAGUUGGUGAGGUAAUGGCUCACCAAGGCGACGAUCCGUAACUGGUCUGAGAGGAUGAUCAGUCACACUGGAACUGAGACACGGUCCAGACUCCUACGGGAGGCAGCAGUGGGGAAUAUUGGACAAUGGGCGAAAGCCUGAUCCAGCCAUGCCGCGUGUGUGAAGAAGGUCUUCGGAUUGUAAAGCACUUUAAGUUGGGAGGAAGGGUUGUACGUUAAUACCGUGCAAUUUUGACG